CGUCACCCGGCCCCGCGCCCGAGCUGCCCCAUCGUCUCUUCAGAGGGGGGAGGUUGGAAUACUAGAAAUGGGUAGAAAACACCCUCUACAACCCUAAACGCAACUUAAGGCUAGGCUCACAAGUCCUGUCUCGCUUCUCCAUUUUUCUGUCCGGCGGCGCUUCUCCACUUAUCUGUCUGGCAGCGCUCCUCCACUCACCCGGUCCUCAGCUUUCAGACACCCAUCACGUGCUUGUAGUGCCCUGUGACGGUACUUCAGCGGGAGGAGGGCGGAGUUUUCUGGACGCCGACGUCCCUGAGGAUCAGAAUUGACAUAGUGAGGAGCCGUCUGGGCAUCAACUUCUGCAGAGAGAAGAUUUAGCUGGACCUGGUGGUAUGUACCAGCUGAAUUAUAUAAAGAAAGACUAUAGAGAAGAUGUCACCUGUAUUCACAGCUAUGCAGUUAUGAUGUGUGAAACUACAACUUCCAGCAGAACCUUAUUACUGCUUAGGUCAUACUGGGAGCUGUAGUU